rnacentral:rRNA from 1 species
UGGUGGAGUGAUUUGUCUGGUUAAUUCCGUUAACGAACGAGACCUCAACCUGCUAAAUAGACAGGCGAACUGCCUGCAUGGGUGAAGGCUCUUGGGUCUUGACUGCUAACGCGGUUGAGUUUGGGAGUUGGAUCCUUGGCACGUUCGUCUGAUUUCUUCUUAGAGGGACAAUUUGUCGAAUAGCGAAUGGAAGUUUGAGGCAAUAACA